GCUAUUUUUCUACGGUACAUUUCUGUAUUGCUCUGACUUAAAAUAUUAAUUCUGUGAACCACGGGACUACAGCUGCCGCUGCACCACCUCGAAACUGAAAAUAAUAACAACUAAAGUGUAUAAUAACACGUUUUAUACUGCCUAUUUGUAUGGUAGAUUUAGUACAUAUAUUAUUAUUUACUACGUAAUAAAACUGUCAGAUAUACUGAUCGAUGGUUGGAUAAUACUAAUGACAUCGGUUGUUUGUUUUAGAUUGCUGAUGUGUCAUGUGAAAAAAUAAACGUUGCGUUACAUUUUUUAAUCGAAGUGUGAAUCACUAAAAAAAUGGUUCAAACUUCAAACACAAAAUCGAAACUCGGUGACCAUGGAAUGGAUAUACACUCGUGGACGUAUUGCGUCCAUUUAAUAAUAAAUGUACCUACCUACUAAUGUACAUCAGCAACAAUACUGUACCAAAUUAAGGUGACAAUGUAUUUACGUGACAUGUAUUGAAAAUCAAACUUUAAUUCAACCUAAAUAUUAAUGUUUAUGAACUCAGUUAUUAUGUAUUUUAGCCUACAGGCACCAUAUAGGUGUCUUUUAUCAUUUAUUAA